GGAAAAACGGGCGGAGGUAGCGAGGGUAAGACUGAGGGUCCAAGCGUUAGCAGGAAUGAUUGGGUGUAAAGGGGCCGUAGGCGGCCUUAUAAGUAAGUGGGGAAAGCCCAUCGCUUAACGAUGGAACGGCCAUUGAUACUGUAGGGCUUGAAUGUUUGUGAAGUAACUAGAAUAUGUAGUGUAGCGGUGAAAUGCUUAGAUAUUACAUGGAAUACCAAUUGCGAAGGCAGGUUACUAACAAACAAUUGACGCUGAUGGACGAAAGCGUGGGGAGCGAACAGGAUUAGAUACCCGGUAGUC
rnacentral:rRNA from 1 species